rnacentral:rRNA from 1 species
AGGUAGUAUUUAUAAUAAAAACCUAUUUAUUAUGGCGGCUUUUCAUCUAAUUAGAGGAACUUGUCAAAUAAUCGAUAAUCCACGAUAAUUUUAACUUUAAUUAAUAAAUUUAUAUACCGCCAUUAAAGAAUUUUUCCUUAAAUAUAUUCAUAAUAAUAAAUAAAAAAUUAGGUCAAGGUGUAGUUUAUAUUAAAGAUUAGAUGAGUUACAUAUAAACAAAAUUUAAGGAUUUUUAAUUUAAUAAAAUUUUAUGAAACAGGAUUUAUAAGUAAUUAUAUUAUAAUAAUAAUUUACAUUGAAAGAGAUAAUAAAAGUGC